rnacentral:ncRNA from 1 species
CAUGAUUGCUAGGGGAGCCUUCGGGCUGAGAAGUUUUUAACUGACCCUUUGAACCUGAUCUAGUUAACACUAGCGGAGGAAAGCAGAGCUAAUUUCUU